rnacentral:tRNA from 6 species
CGGGGCGUAGCGCAGCUUGGUAGCGCAUCUGCUUUGGGAGCAGAGGGUCGCAGGUUCAAAUCCUGUCGCCCCGACAA